rnacentral:sRNA from 1 species
AGAUACAGCAACAGCAACAGCAGCUACAGCGAAUGGCACAGCUGCAGCUCCAGCAACAGCAACAGCAGCAGCAGCAGCAGCAACAGCAGCAGCAGCAGGCUUUGCAGGCCCAGCCGCCAAUUCAGCAGCCACCGAUGCAGCAGCCACAGCCUCCGCCCGCCCAGGCUCUGCCCCAGCAGCUGCAGCAGAUGCAUCACACACAGCACCACCAGCCACCACCACAGCCCCAGCAGCCUCCAGUUGCUCAGAACCAACCAUCACAACUCCCGCCACAGUCGCAGACCCAGCCUUUGGUGUCGCAGGCGCAAGCUCUCCCUGGACAAAUGUUGUAUACCCAACCACCACUGAAAUUUGUCCGAGCUCCGAUGGUGGUGCAGCAGCCCCCAGUGCAGCCCCAGGUGCAGCAGCAGACAGCAGUACAGACAGCUCAGGCUGCCCAGAUGGUUGCUCCCGGAGUCCAGCUCUGGCCCUGCCCCGUCCCCCAGUAGCUUCCUGCCUAGCCCCUCACCGCAGCCCUCCCAGAGCCCAGUGACGGCGCGGACCCCACAGAACUUCAGUGUCCCCUCACCUGGACCUUUAAACACACCUGUGAACCCCAGCUCUGUCAUGAGCCCAGCUGGCUCCAGCCAGGCUGAGGAACAGCAGUACCUGGACAAGCUGAAGCAACUGUCCAAGUACAUCGAGCCCCUACGCCGCAUGAUCAA